UCGACACACUAUCAUUAACUGAAUCCAUAGGUUAAUGAGGCGAACCGGGGGAACUGAAACAUCUAAGUACCCCGAGGAAAAGAAAUCAACCGAGAUUCCCCCAGUAGCGGCGAGCGAACGGGGAGCAGCCCAGAGCCUGAAUCAGUGUGUGUGUUAGUGGAAGCGUCUGGAAAGGCGCGCGAUACAGGGUGACAGCCCCGUACACAAAAAUGCACAUACUGUGAGCUCGAUGAGUAGGGCGGGACACGUGGUAUCCUGUCUGAAUAUGGGGGGACCAUCCUCCAAGGCUAAAUACUCCUGACUGACCGAUAGUGAACCAGUACCGUGAGGGAAAGGCGAAAAGAACCCCGGCGAGGGGAGUGAAAAAGAACCUGAAACCGUGUACGUACAAGCAGUGGGAGCACGCUUAGGCGUGUGACUGCGUACCUUUUGUAUAAUGGGUCAGCGACUUAUAUUCUGUAGCAAGGUUAACCGAAUAGGGGAGCCGAAGGGAAACCGAGUCUUAACUGGGCGUUAAGUUGCAGGGUAUAGACCCGAAACCCGGUGAUCUAGCCAUGGGCAGGUUGAAGGUUGGGUAACACUAACUGGAGGACCGAACCGACUAAUGUUGAAAAAUUAGCGGAUGACUUGUGGCUGGGGGUGAAAGGCCAAUCAAACCGGGAGAUAGCUGGUUCUCCCCGAAAGCUAUUUAGGUAGCGCCUCGUGAAUUCAUCUCCGGGGGUAGAGCACUGUUUCGGCAAGGGGGUCAUCCCGACUUACCAACCCGAUGCAAACUGCGAAUACCGGAGAAUGUUAUCACGGGAGACACACGGCGGGUGCUAACGUCCGUCGUGAAGAGGGAAACAACCCAGACCGCCAGCUAAGGUCCCAAAGUCAUGGUUAAGUGGGAAACGAUGUGGGAAGGCCCAGACAGCCAGGAUGUUGGCUUAGAAGCAGCCAUCAUUUAAAGAAAGCGUAAUAGCUCACUGGUCGAGUCGGCCUGCGCGGAAGAUGUAACGGGGCUAAACCAUGCACCGAAGCUGCGGCAGCGACGCUUAUGCGUUGUUGGGUAGGGGAGCGUUCUGUAAGCCUGUGAAGGUGUGCUGUGAGGCAUGCUGGAGGUAUCAGAAGUGCGAAUGCUGACAUAAGUAACGAUAAAGCGGGUGAAAAGCCCGCUCGCCGGAAGACCAAGGGUUCCUGUCCAACGUUAAUCGGGGCAGGGUGAGUCGACCCCUAAGGCGAGGCCGAAAGGCGUAGUCGAUGGGAAACAGGUUAAUAUUCCUGUACUUGGUGUUACUGCGAAGGGGGGACGGAGAAGGCUAUGUUGGCCGGGCGACGGUUGUCCCGGUUUAAGCGUGUAGGCUGGUUUUCCAGGCAAAUCCGGAAAAUCAAGGCUGAGGCGUGAUGACGAGGCACUACGGUGCUGAAGCAACAAAUGCCCUGCUUCCAGGAAAAGCCUC
rnacentral:rRNA from 1 species